rnacentral:lncRNA from 1 species
GUCGGAUGGCGUCUCCGCGGCUGGGAUCGGAUCUUCUGGAUGGGGAGCGUUACCGCGUUGGUUUGGGCUGCGCCAAGUGAGGGCCCAGUUUCCUGAGCCCAUUACCUCGCUGUGGGGCCCGUAGCCUCCUAGCGCAUGCACCGCUGCCUCAGCGGCCGCCCUGGUUGCUUGCUCCGGCACUCGCCGCCGGCGCCCAUCGUAAGAGUACUCCAGCGAGCCCUCAAGCCAAA